AACCCAUGGUGAGGGCACCUUCUCAGUUAGUCAUUGUAUCUCUCCCAUGCAUCGUAAAGUGUUUCUAAAUCCAUCUGCACAAAAGAAGAGAUAUCAUUACGUAAUUU
rfam:Gossypium hirsutum cultivar TM-1 chromosome 24, whole genome shotgun sequence